AGACAGUGAGAGAGAGAGAGAGUGAGAGAGAGAGAGAGAGUUCAUCCUGAAAGCGCUUAUGUUUCCAGAGGUUUUCAAAUGCAAAUGGAGUGGGAGUGGUGGUGGCCGUGAUGGAGCGUACUGUGUGGGUGUAGGGGGAUUUGGGGAGAGGGUGUCGUGGGCAGUAAGUUUAAACAAAUUCAAGGCCAUUACUACCACUGCAGACCAAAAUAACUUAGGUCUGAGAGACCCCCUUAGAAAGAUACAAUGCCUUCCUCAUCUAAAGGGAGCUAAUACCAGAGUGAUCUCGGCGCUCGCGCAGUUUUGAGAGAGGGUCCCGAAAACCGCCGGAGGCCAGGUGUCGCGGACGGGCCCCGGGCUAAACUCUCGUCUGGCGAAGUGAAGAGCGCAAAGUCUCCAGGCCCAGCGCGCCUUCGCGGGGCAGGCCGGACACCCUAGCCCCGGGCCGGGCUCGCUCUUCUCUGAAGCCCUGGAGCGGGCAAGGGGCACCAUUCUGGCCACAGGAACUCUAGUUUCAGCAGCCGCAGCCCGCCAGCGCUGGCUCGGACCGGGGCCUCCUCUGGGAGAGUAGGAGAGCGAAAAAAUCAACCACCACCUUGGAUUUCAGAUCGAGGAAAGGAAGCCAAAGCAAAGGUGUGGUUACACAGGACAUCCAUAGACAAAUCGUUGCCUCUCUAAGUGGGCCUGAGCUUUGCGGCUCCAGAAGCGCGAGGCGCGGUUGGUGCGGACGCGGGGGCGUGGGAGUCAUCGCUCUCCCCGCAGCCCUGGCCGAGCUCUCUGCUGUCCUCCCGAGUUUGGGCCAGAGACCACGGCUCACUCCCUAACGCCCUCGCAAGGACGGCUGCCCGUCGGGCCAAGGGCGCCCCGGGCUGGAGGCCGGAGCAAGACGGCCCCGCGGGACUCGGGAGCCUUGGUAAGGCGGAGGCUCAGACCCCGUUCACGAAAACGCCUGGCUCCUCCAGGAUUUGUCAGGUCUUAAGCAGCUCCGAGAAGGCUCCGCUGGCUCUUGGGGAACCCCGCUGUGCGGCUCACCCCCGUUUGUCUCUCUCAAGCUCUCGCCCUCCUCCCCUGGUCCUCCCUUCUCCAGAUCCCCUGCCCUGCCCGAGGUCCGGGCCGCGCGGGCUGAGCCCAAUACGCCCGGAGAAGAGCGCCGGAGCCCCCUGCUGGCCGGACGCGGCAGGCGCGGCGGCCCGCUCGGUCCCCUCCGCCCCGCGGGCUCUGCCCAGCCCGGACCCGCCUCCACCCUCCAGUGCCCUGGCGCUGGGGGCGUGCUAAAAGCAACAGAAAACAAAACAAAAACAAACAAAGCGCCAAACCCCACUCUCACCUCUUCUACUGGUCAAAGGUGGAUGGCAGAAUCUUUGAACUGCUAAUAAGUAAGGGGAUGGGGCUGAAAUGAAGAGGGAUCUGGUAUCUUUCCUCUGUGUUCAUCAAUCCAGGAGAUCUGAACAGGUCGUAAAGAGUUGCAGCUCCUCCUGAGGAUAAAAUCGCAAUUAUAACAAUAAAAACUAACAUGUGUUGAGUGCU
rnacentral:lncRNA from 1 species